rnacentral:rRNA from 1 species
GGGGAAUCUUCCGCAAUGGGCGAAAGCCUGACGGAGCAACGCCGCGUGAAGGAUGAAGGUUUUCGGAUUGUAAACUUCUUUAGUCAGGGACGAAAAAAAUGACGGUACCUGAAGAAUAAGCCACGGCUAACUACGUGCCAGCAGCCGCGGUAAUACGUAGGUGGCAAGCGUUGUCCGGAAUUACUGGGUGUAAAGGGCGUGUAGGCGGGAAUGUAAGUCAGAUGUGAAAUCCCAGGGCUUAACCCUGGAGCUGCAUCUGAAACUAUGUUUCUUGAGUGCCGGAGAGGAAAGCGGAAUUCCUAGUGUAGCGGUGAAAUGCGUAGAUAUUAGGAGGAACACCAGUGGCGAAGGCGGCUUUCUGGACGGUAACUGACGCUGAGGCGCGAAAGCGUGGGGAGCAAAC